GCCGUUCGAAACUUUGCACACCUCUCCGUGGUGAGUAGCAGGCAACGAUCUUAUGGUCGGCGAAGAUGUGAGA
rnacentral:ribozyme from 1 species